rnacentral:rRNA from 1 species
UACGAAGGGGGCUAGCGUUGCUCGGAAUCACUGGGCGUAAAGCGCACGUAGGCGGAUUGCUAAGUCAGGGGUGAAAUCCUGGAGCUCAACUCCAGAACUGCCUUUGAUACUGGCGACCUUGAGUCCGGGAGAGGUGAGUGGAACUGCGAGUGUAGAGGUGAAAUUCGUAGAUAUUAGCAGGAACACCGGUGGCGAAGGCGGCCAUCUGGACAACAACUGACGCUGAGGUGCGAAAGCGUGGGGAGCAAACAGG